UCCCCGAUAGCUCAAUGGUAGAGCACUUGACUGUUAAUCAAGUUGUUGCUGGUUCGAGUCCAGCUCGGGGAG
rnacentral:tRNA from 4 species